UGGGGUGUAGCCAAGCGGUAAGGCAACGGGUUUUGAUCCCGUCAUGCGAAGGUUCGAUUCCUUCCACCCCAGCCA
rnacentral:tRNA from 1 species